CCAACCUUGGACUUGAAAGUGUUUGAUGACUCAAAGACAGAAGUUGAUGAGCAGGUUUUUGAUCUCCUGUUGAAAACCCAAACCUUGGUGUGUUGGAAAUUUGUCUGGCCGAAGAUUCAAAUCCAGAAGAUCAGCCGAGUUGUCCUGCAAAGAGCUGCAAUACCAGUUCAAGUGGAGAUACUGAAGUGGAUUCAGAUGACACAAUACUAUUACAACACAGUCCUACAACAAGACGAAGAGUUGAAGACGCCUCUCUGGCCAAAGUAAGUAAAUAAUCUUUUCACAAAUUCAUCUUAAGCAUUCAAAGUCAGGCUGUCUUUAUUGGAGCUAUCCAGCCUUAUAGAUGUGAGCCAGAUGCCAACUCAGACGAGGAGAAUGAAGAGAAGCGGAGCAGGGAGCUUGUGGCCUGCCAAAUGUAGCUUGUGGUUGCUGUCAUUGGUGAGGAUGCAUCAUCCGUUGAAGGUCAUGUGAAUGUCCUGCAUAUCCAGUACAGCAAGGUGCGAGAGGAUGUACUAAAGAAGUACCCUUUCUUGAAGACAACCUCAGGGUUGUUUGAUGUUGACCGAAUGCAUCCAUCACCUGUCAGUUUAAGC